rnacentral:tRNA from 1 species
GCCUGGGUGGUUCAGGGGGUUGGGCAUCCGACUUCAACUCAGGUCUCGAUCUCGCAUUUCGUGGGUUCGAGCCCCACAUCAGGCU